rnacentral:rRNA from 1 species
AGGGCACCACCAGGAGUGGAGCCUGCGGCUUAAUUUGACUCAACACGGGAAACCUCACCCGGCCCGGACACGGACAGGAUUGACAGAUCGAUAGCUCUUUCUCGAUUCCGUGGGUGGUGGUGCAUGGCCGUUCUUAGUUGGUGGAGCGAUUUGUCUGGUUAAUUCCGAUAACGAACGAGACUCUGGCAUGCUAACUAGUUACGCGACCCCCCGAGCGGUCGGCGUCCCCCAACUUCUUAGAGGGACAAGUGGCGUUCAGCCACCCGAGAUUGAGCAAUAACAGGUCUGUGAUGCCCUUAGAUGUCCGGGGCUGCACGCGCGCUACACUGACUGGCUCAGCGUGUGCCUACCCUACGCCGGCAGGCGCGGGUAACCCGUUGAACCCCAUUCGCGAUGGGGAUCGGGGAUUGCAAUUAUUCCCCAUGAACGGGGAAUUCCCAGUAAGUGCGGGUCAUAAGCUUGCAUUGAUUUAGUCCCUGCCCUUGUACACACAUCCCCGUCGCCGCUACUAAUUGAAUG